rnacentral:lncRNA from 1 species
GUCAAUCUUAUGCCGUACAUACAAGUCUAUCUCCUUAUGCUUAACCUAGUAGUUUAUAAUGUCAAUAAUGCUACUAUCAUUCCACACAACCCUAAGGUUAUCCUACAAAGUCCUACUACCAAGUACAUGGAAAUAAAUUAGUUGCACUGUAUUAAACCCUAAUCUAUCUUUAACUAUUUUACACAACUCAAAAUACAACAUCGUACCUGGAUACUCUUUAAGCCUCACCAUCUUACCACCUAAAUACUUAACAUGGGGAUCAUGUACAAAUUUACCCCCAACAUGCAAGUUGAUAUAGUAUUCCUCUUCUACAG